rnacentral:sRNA from 1 species
AUGAAGUGGAUGUGGGCGUCGAUGCCGCCGGCGGUGACGAUCAUGCCCUCGCCGGCGAUGGCCUCGGUGCCGGGGCCCACCAGGAUGUCCACGCCCGCUUGCGUGUCCGGGUUACCGGCCUUGCCGAUGCCGGCGAUGCGCCCGUUCUUGAUGCCGAUGUCCGCCUUGACGAUGCCCCAGUGAUCCAGGAUCAGGGCAUUGGUGAUAAUGGUGUCCACCACCUCGUCCGCCUGGCGCUGGCACUGCCCCAUGCCGUCGCG